CAGUAGCCGCGGUAAUACGUAGGUCCCGAGCGUUGUCCGGAUUUAUUGGGCGUAAAGGGAGCGCAGGCGGUUUAGUAAGUCUGAAGUUAAAGGCAUUGGCUCAACCAAUGUAUGCUUUGGAAACUGUUAGACUUGAGUGCAGAAGGGGAGAGUGGAAUUCCAUGUGUAGCGGUGAAAUGCGUAGAUAUAUGGAGGAACACCGGUGGCGAAAGCGGCUCUCUGGUCUGUCACUGACGCUGAGGCUCGAAAGCGUGGGUAGCGAACAGGAUUAGAUACCCCCGUAGUCCCUGUCUCUUAUACA
rnacentral:rRNA from 1 species